UGGAUCUGAAGAACCCGUCUCUGAGUUCUUGUUUGAAAAGUUCUUAAAAUGAGAUUUGCAGAACCACAGUAUGAUGAGUCCUGCAACAAGCACCACUCCUGCAGCGCCUCCAACUAUUGCAGCAUAUGACUUUGACAUGAGCGGCAAAACAACUCGGAUGAAUUUUGGUGCACUGACAAGUAUUCAGAAACACAACUGGCUGAUCUCAAGUAUCCACCUGGGAAAUAGAUAAUUGGCAAAGUUCGAUGCUGCUCAAAAUCUGAAUAAGUUUUCAGCGGACAACUCAUUUCAUUUCAAAGUACCACAACUAGGAGCAGUGAGCACCUCCAAAAACUCUUUACAGCGGAGAACCCUACAAUGACGAACAUCCUGUACUUGUCUCCUUGCCAAGACAAACCCGUCUUUUAUUUUUUCCUCAUGGGAAAGGGGGUAAUAUUGAAGAAGAAAAUAGUUAAAAAAAGAAGGCACAAUUUAGUACCCUAUCUAUUGCUGCUGAUAGAACUCAUGCUGGUUUAUAUUUAGCAUUGCUUGCAGAAAAGGUCUCGUAAGAAGUAGGCACCUCAGGUAGGAGAAAGAGAUUACAAUGCAUGAAAGUCGUGUCUAGCAAACAAAAUGAAGACCAAAGCUAGUCUCCUUCAUGUAGACAUCUUCUUUUCAAAGAAUUCAUGUAGACAUCUUUGGACAUGUACAUUGAUCAUAAAUCUACUUAGCUUCUUUAUUUGGAAUCUCUCUUCCAAAAGAAAGAAAAAAAAAAUCAAUGGCCCAUGUGGAUUGUUGUUUACCAACAGUAAAAAUGUUGAUUAUUUUUUGUUUUUACCAUGAAGAUAUGGACAUGUAUGAAAGUGACAUUAAUUGAGCAGGCACUGGAAAACAUAAUUAUUGAAGGGGAUCGAAAGAAAAGGUAGUUAUCACUCCAUCAAUUCCAAGCCUCUUCCCUGAAUUCGCCCUUUAUCUUCCUUUUUCCCUCUUUUUUGUCAUCUGAUCUGGAAAGAAGAGAGUGGCUUCUUAUUUUAGUAAUAGAGAGAUGGGACUCCUCAUCCUUAGAUGGGGUCUACGACAACUGAGCCAACAAGACAUUACCACAACAAGUUCAGCAGGUAUUUGGUUUCCAUGGCUACAUGUUCUUGAUUUUAUUGACUGGGAAUAAAUUUAAGCUGUUUUGGCAAAUUGAAUUGUUGAGUUUCCCCUCUAUUUGCCUGCCUCUGUAUUUAUUUAUUUUUUUGGGCAUAUAUGAUUGAGUUGUGUCCAAGAUACGCAAAUCACUGCCCUGUGAGUUUCUCUCUCUCAUUUAUUUAUUUGUCUUUUUCUCUCG